GUUGAAUCAGAUGGAGGAGUCCAGGCCAGUAUUAGAGUAGGUUGAAUCAGCUGGAGGAGUCCAGGCCAGUAUUAGAGUAGGUUGAAUCAGAUGGAGGAGUCCAGGCCAGUAUUAGCGUAGGUUGAAUCAGCUGGAGGAGUCCAGGCCAGUAUUAGAGUAGGUUGAAUCAGCUGAUGGAGACCAGGCCAGUAUUAGAGUAGGUUGUAUCAGAAUCAGCUGGAGGAGUCCAGGCCAGUAUUAGUGUAGGUUGAAUCAGCUGGAGGAGUCCAGGCCAGUAUUAGUGUAGGUUGAAUCAGCUGAAGGAGUCCAGGCCAGUAUUAGAGUAGGUUGAAUCAGCUGAAGGAGUCCAGGCCAGUAUUAGUGUAGGUUGAAUCAGCUGAUGGAGUCCAGGCCAGUAUUAGUGUAGGUUGAAUCAGCUGGAGGAGUCCAGGCCAGGCUGUUGCUGCUUAGGCGACACACUCAUUCACACCACAAGGUCAAUUUUAUACUUAUACUGAAAGCAUGGUGUUUGUGUGAUUAAUCAUUGAACACGUCUCUUAUUUUACAUGUUCCUGAUUACAUUAACACAGCACUAGCCAGACACUUCUCAGUAUUCAUCACACCUGUGUGUGUGUGUGUGUGUGUGUGUGUGUGUGUGUGUGUGUGUGUGUGUGUGUGUGUGUGUGUGUGUGUGUGUGUGUGU
rnacentral:lncRNA from 1 species